CAUUACCGAGGUCGAUCCCCGAGAGGGGGUUACCCGAUCUAUGUCAUCAUUACUUGGCGGUCGCGAAAGGCCGGCGUUUUCGGGCGCCGCGCUCCGGAGCGGGUUGCCGAGGGAUUCCUUUCGGCGGAGGGUCGGGUGUGGGGUCGUCGCUAGCGCGGCGGCCUCCCGCGACCGCCGCCGGCCCAUAACCCUGAGUACUCUGAAGUCAGUCGACCACAAAAAUAGAAACAAAACUUUCAACAACGGAUCUCUUGGCUCUGGCAACGAUGAAGAACGCAGCGAAAUGCGAUAAGUAAUGCGAAUUGCAGAAUCCGUGAAUCAUUGAAUCUUUGAACGCACAUUGCGCCUCCUGGUAUUCCGGGAGGCACGCCUGUUCGAGCGCCAUUACACACCCCAAGCCUGGCUUGAUGUUGGGUGCUGUCCCGCGGAGGUCAAGACCCCGGGGACACGCCUCAAACGUAUGGGCGCCCGCCGCCGACCACGAGCGUAGCACGAUUUCCACGAAUCACCGCUCGUUGCGUCCGGAGGCGGGUCGCCUCGCACCCUGACCGGUCCCUCCCCUCGGGGCGGGGCGGGCAGGACCACACACAAGUUUGGCCUCGGAUCANGCGGGGAUACCCGCUGAACUUAAGCAUAUCAAUAAGCGGAGGAAAAGAAACCAACAGGGAUUGCCUCAGUAACGGCGAGUGAAGCGGCAACAGCUCAAUUUGAAAUCUGGCGUCUUCGGCGUCCGAGUUGUAAUUUGCA
rnacentral:rRNA from 1 species